rnacentral:rRNA from 1 species
GAUGAACGCUGGCGGCGUGCCUAAUACAUGCAAGUCGAGCGAACAGACGAGGAGCUUGCUCCUCUGACGUUAGCGGCGGACGGGUGAGUAACACGUGGAUAACCUACCUAUAAGACUGGGAUAACUUCGGGAAACCGGAGCUAAUACCGGAUAAUAUAUUGAACCGCAUGGUUCAAUAGUGAAAGACGGUUUUGCUGUCACUUAUAGAUGGAUCCGCGCCGCAUUAGCUAGUUGGUAAGGUAACGGCUUACCAAGGCAACGAUGCGUAGCCGACCUGAGAGGGUGAUCGGCCACACUGGACCUGAGACACGGUCCAGACUCCUACGGGAGGCAGCAGUAGGGAAUCUUCCGCAAUGGGCGAAAGCCUGACGGAGCAACGCCGCGUGAGUGAUGAAGGUCUUCGGAUCGUAAAACUCUGUUACUAGGGAAGAACAAAUGUGUAAGUAACUAUGCACGUCUUGACGGUACCUAAUCAGAAAGCCACGGCUAACUACGUG